rnacentral:rRNA from 1 species
AGCAGCCGCGGUAAUUCCAGCUCCAAUAGCGUAUAUUAAAGUUGUUGCAGUUAAAAAGCUCGUAGUUGAAUUUCGGAGUUUGUCGGUUGGUCGGGCUUCACUGUCCGCACUGGCCUGAUAGAUUCCUACCUUCUGAAUAACCAGCAUGCUAUUAAUUUAGUGCGUUGGGGAAGCAGAGCUAUUACCUUGAAAAAAUUAGAGUGCUUAAAGUAGGCUUAUGCUUGAAUAGAUUAGCAUGGAAUAAUAAAAUAGGACGGCUUGGUUCUAUUUUGUUGGUUUCUAGGAUCACCGUAAUGAUUAAUAGGGAUAGUUGGGGGCAUUAGUAUUCAAUUGUCAGAGGUGAAAUUCUUGGAUUUAUUGAAGACUAACUUCUGCGAAAGCAUUUGCCAAGGAUGUUUUCAUUAAUCAAGAACGAAAGUUAGGGGAUCGAAGACGAUCAGAUACCGUCGUAGUCUUAACCAUAAACUAUGCCGACUAGGGAUCGGACGAUGUUAAUUUUUUAAUGACUCG